AGAGUUUGAUCCUGGUUCAGAACGAACGCUGGCGGCAGGCUUAAUACGUGCAAGUCGAACGGUUGUAGCAAUACAGCAGUGGCAGACGGGUGAGUAACACGUGGGAACCUACCUAGGGGUACGGAAUAACUCAGGGAAACUUGUGCUAAUACCGUAUACGACCUCAGGGUGAAAGAUUUAUCGCCCCUAGAUGGGCCCGCGUAGGAUUAGCUAGUUGGUGAGGUAAAGGCUCACCAAGGCGACGAUCCUUAGCUGGUCUGAGAGGAUGAUCAGCCACACUGGGACUGAGACACGGCCCAGACUCCUACGGGAGGCAGCAGUAGGGAAUAUUGGACAAUGGGGGCAACCCUGAUCCAGCAAUGCCGCGUGAGUGAUGAAGGCCUUAGGGUUGUAAAGCUCUUUCGCCAGGGAAGAUAAUGACGGUACCUGGAUAAGAAGCCCCGGCUAACUUCGUGCCAGCAGCCGCGGUAAUACGAAGGGGGCUAGCGUUGUUCGGAAUUACUGGGCGUAAAGCGCACGUAGGCGGUUUUCCAAGUUGGAGGUGAAAUCCCCGGGCUUAACCUGNGAACUGCCUCCAAGACUGGGAGACUCGAGUCCGAGAGAGGUGAGUGGAAUUCCAGUGUAGAGGUGAAAUUCGUAAAUAUUGGAAAGAACACCAGUGGCGAAGGCGGCUCACUGGCUCGGUACUGACG
rnacentral:rRNA from 1 species